GGGCCGUUAGCUCAGUUGGUAGAGCAGCUGACUCUUAAUCAGCGGGCCGCAGGUUCGAUCCCUGCACGGCCCACCA
rnacentral:tRNA from 2 species